ensembl:lncRNA
GUUCAGUCCCCAUUCAGGACCCAUCUCCCUAGCUGCUCCUGGCCCAGUGUUCAGGCAGAUAAUGGCACAGCUGGCAGUGAGCCCAUGCUUUUCUCUGCUGGUGUACGAUGCUGGGAGGAAGGGUUCAUUCAGCAAGCCCCCAGGGCUCUCCUCUGGAUGGCACCAUCCCAGUUCUUCCAGAAGAGAGAGAGAAAGGGUGCUUUUGGUGCCAUUUCUAUAGCUGCUGCUAUUUGGCACCACAGGAUAUGCCCUUAUUUCCUCCCAUUCACUAUCCUGACUCACUUAGCAGGGCUGAUGAUUGUCUCUCAAAGAUUUUUACCUGUGAUGGGAAACGAACAACUAAGGAGGGCAGAAGAGAAGGAGGAGUUGAGGAAGAUGAAGAGGAUGGGAGAGAAGAGCCUUACAAAAGUCUUCACAGAACCAUCUCUGAUCAAAAGCACAGAAAAGGCUCAUUAGAUGAAGGUGAAAACAAAGAUAAAAUGAAUAGCUCAGAAGUAAGAGGUGAUGCAUGAAAAAUGCAUGAAAUGGAGACAGACUGAUGAGCUUGAGCCCUCUGUAGCACACGCUCUGCUACCCGUGACCAGUUGUUCUAUUUUGGUCUCCAUUUGAGGAAAGGAUGGGAAACGCUGAGCUUUGCUCUCUGUGACAGCGACAGGGCCUGAGGGAACAGCAUGGAGCUGUGCCAGGGGAAGGUCAGGUUGGAGGUUAGGAUGAGGUUCUUCACCAGAGGGUGGUGGGCAUGGAACAGGCUGCCUAGGGCAGUGGCACGGCCCCGAGCUGCUGGAGUUCAAGGAGCGUCUGGUCUGGUCAAUGUACUCAGACAUAAGGUCCGACUUCUGAGUGGUUCUGUAUGGAGCCAAGAGUCGGACUUGAUGGUCCUUAUGAAGAGACCUUCUUCAGUUGCCUUCUCUGAUGCUGCAUGUUGGUCCUGGCUGUACAUCUGUGUGAAUCUGGGCACAUUUUAUUUGGCUCUGAGCUUCACUGCUUCCUUCCAGAAGAACAGCCACUGCCUGCUGAUGGUCAGUAUGGAUGCGGUGUCCUCGGCAUGGGGUUGACUGUUGCUGUGCCCUCCUCUACCUAGCAGACCAGUCUUACGCUAGAGCUUGUGUCCUUGAGGCAGAGACUGCUCCAUUCCCUGGCUGGUGUAGGUUGUGGUGCUCCCUUGGCCAAUGGAAAAGCUGGUGGAUCCAUGUAGAGAGUCUCCUUCUGUACAUCCUGG